AAUGACCAGCUGUCUGUAAGAAAUGUAAAUUCUUCCAUUAUCCACCAUCCAGUAAGAGCUAAAGAAGCUUCUUGGAUAAGAAGUGAAAUGUCUUCGAAAGAAAAACCAGAAAGUCCAGUUGCCUCUUGAAAAAUCACCUUUGGGACAACUAUGAUCU